rnacentral:misc_RNA from 1 species
CAGGCAGUUAUUUUGCAACCACUUGGAGAUAGAGGAAUUGUGAUAAUUGGUGGUGACACAAUUAGGGGUUUCACAACUUCUGACCAGGCAUGGAUUACAUUUAUUGGAGAGAAACUUGAUGCUACACUAGGAAAAUAUGUGAUCAACNNNNNNNNNUCCAUUGGCAGUUCAAGAUAGAGUUUGAAACUACAUACUUUCACGAUUUUUGAACUUAAAUGGGCAUUAUAUUUACUGUAUCCUUUAUUCAAGGCUUCCCAUGCAGCAGUUUGUGUUGAGACCGG